rnacentral:rRNA from 1 species
GACAGAGGAUGCAAGCGUUAUCCGGAAUGAUUGGGCGUAAAGCGUCUGUAGGUGGCUUUUCAAGUCCGCCGUCAAAUCCCAGGGCUCAACCCUGGACAGGCGGUGGAAACUGCCAAGCUGGAGUACGGUAGGGGCAGAGGGAAUUUCCGGUGGAGCGGUGAAAUGCGUAGAGAUCGGAAAGAACACCAACGGUGAAAACAGGUUGCUGGGGAUGUCCUGACGCUGAGACACGAAAGCCAGGGGAGCAAACGGG